rnacentral:lncRNA from 1 species
CAGAGUUCUAGCCUGGCUUCAGUAUUCCUCAUGACUGUUAACAGCUGCCUUGUUUGACUCCCACAUGGCUGCUUUCAGGUGAGAGGACAAAGGGAGUUUGAGAGAUGCACUAUCUUUUCCCAUCUUUGUAUCAUAUUGGGAAGAAGAGAGUUAGGAAGCUGGAUAGGAAAGAUUCACACUGUCAAUUGGAAUCGUCCAAAGGAAGGUAGAGUUCUGAUGUGGUAAAUUGUAAGUAAAUAUAUAUAUACAUAUCAG